UUAUAAUCAUGUUUUUUUUUUAAAAAAAUGGAGACUGAGAUGCAAGUUUGGAUGCCCAGCACACUGAACAUCAUGGUAUGUUUUGAUCUUUGAAAUGCCAGGUGGUCGCAGGCACACACACAUUUGCAAACAUAUGAUAGGAUGGUCUGUCUUUCCCUCAGAACCACAGCUCAGACUAUCUCCCACAUUUCUCUGAUCUAGAACAAUGAACUUAGAUUGGGAAACAACAUAUUUUGCCCUUCCUUUGUGCCAUUCUCUCAUUCAUUGGAAAAAUAUUUAUUGAGCCUCACACUGUUCUGGGAAUUUCAGAAUCCUGUACUAAAUAAAUCAGAAUGAAAGGAAAUCCCUGUUGUUAUAGAGUCCAUUUGGGGGAGACAGGCAAUAAGCAACCAAACAGAUAUAAUAUAUUAAAUAGUGGUAAAUGUUAUGAAGAAAAAUAAAGCAGAGAAGAGAAACUGGAGGUUUUAGGGUGGAAGGAGGUCAGUGAAGUCUCUCCUGAGAAGGGACAUUGGUGGAGAGAAUCAAAUGAGGUAAGAGGGCAAACCAUGCGUAUGUCUAGAGGGAGAGCAAGCACAAAAUAUAAGAAGAAGAAACAGUGAGAGCUGACUUUAAGGAGGCAAGAAGAGAAGCAGGCAAACCAGGUUAUUUUAAAGGCAUUUCCCAAUGGAUUCUCCAGUUUCUGAAACCCGGUGCAAUAUAUACAGUGACUCUCAGAGGCAGCCAGAAGUGGGUGAGGGAGAGCUGCACCUUCCAGUGUUUAAGCUUUCACAAGUUUUUGGAAGCUGGUGAACGCUGACAAAUUAUUUGUCCCACAAAACUGGAAACACACAGUCCAGACAGUAGUUGGAAGUACAACAACCAACCUGGAGUGAGUGAUGCAGAGGGUCUAUACUCAUACUUUAUGCACCGUCACACUCUUCACAGAGCAAAGCCACAGAGCCUGGAUCCCUUCAAUUGACAGUGCACAUCUCUGUGGCAAGGAUACCAAUGCGGGUGCUGGCCACUGAAUUAAUCAACAUCUGAUCUCUUGAAAAUGAUCUGGAUGAUUUGUGAAGAAGUCCACCCACCAAUAAAGACAAGUCUGUCUGUUUUCCUUAACUACUGAACAGAACUGUCAGAUGCAGCAGUCUUCUUGUCUACACAUCCAAAGCAAAAUGCUCAAAUGCUCAUGUAACCCCCUCUUAUCAAAGCUUUUUGUCUUAGAGGGAGUACUAUGGUCAUAACACUGCUUUUGUUUUUCAAAAAAUGACUUACUUUUAGCAAACAGGCUUAAAUUUAUUCAUUUUGCAAGGAGGGGUCAGAAAUUGGUCAAGCAGAACAUGAGUGAAUCUGACAUUGGAAUAAACUCUUGGGGAAAAUAAAGACUAACAGAAGAAAAGAUUCAGCCCUGUGCAGUGUACUUCUCAACCCCAGGUGCUGGGCUGUGCAAUGAAAUGAGAAGCAAGACUCGUAGUUACAUUAAUAAUGAAGACACAGAGUUGUUUAACACUGGGACUUCCUUUCUCACUGUACUCAAUGUAAAAAAAAUAAUGAGAUUCCUCCCCUCAAAACAAACUGAUAACAUUUUUAUAUUAGUUUCUGUAAAUAGGCUGUAGUUUUAGUACAUAAAAAUACUCAAUACUUAUUCACUUAUUCUAAUGAAAUUGUUUAAUGCCACAAUCUCCCUGGCAGACACUCAUUCCCAUAAUGGUCAGCUCACUUGACAGCCAAUGCUAUAUUAGAAUAAUGCUAUUUGUAGGCAGCUCUACAGUUCACAAAAUGCCUUCCCAUGUAUUAUUUUAUUUGAUCCAGAUGAUCAAAGGGUCAUGCUUACAAAAUGGGGAGUAUUCAGACUUCUGAUACUUACAUCUUAGUGUCCAUUGCAUGCCAUGCCAAAGAGUUAUUGCUAGCUGUACAUUACUCAGUUGGUAAAGGGGUUAUUAGAUUAUUCCUAAAGUUUUCCUUAAGAACACAUUACAUUUUUCCAUAUUUCUCUCUUUUCCUUUAAUUUUGAACUAUAUUGCUAUAGAGACUAUUCUUUCUAUAUUCUUGUUAACACCUCCACUGUCCUAUGCUAAAUAAGGACAAUGGGGAGAGUCCAGCCUUAACAUGAACAAGAUGAAUAAUCAUACGAAUCUACACUGCUAGGUCUCCCCAUCAGAUCUAACCCUUACUCAAUACACAGCUGCCCUUGCAGUCAACUCUACCUGAUGGAAAAGUACAGAAAGUGUUGAAGAGCCCUCAGCAGGAUCUGAAAUGAAUCAAGUUUUUGAAAAUGCUAGCACUGACAUUCUAAGGCUAUUCUAAACUGCCAAAAGUGGGCCAGAAAAAUGAAAAUAUUAAAUUCUUGCUUUGGAUUUCAGAGCUUAGCUUGGUAGUAAUUCCCCAGCCUUGAUUUUAUUUAUUACUAUUUUCUACCCUUCCUGGAAAAAGAGAUGUCUUCAAAUGUUUAAGAUCAUUCCAAAACCAAAGAAAGGGUGAUCUGCUUUUUAAAAAUCUGUUAACUUAUGACAUAAUUAUAGCAGCCUUUCCUGCGUACUAAUAUGAUGCUAUUUUCAUAUUUACCUUUCAUAAAUCCAUUGAUACAGACAUUAUCAUAAAAUAUUCAUAGACUAAUAUAUAUGAAUUUGUUAUAUUCUUUUCAACAAGAGCCCUCGUUUAUUUAAACUUAUUUUCAUUUAACUCCUACAAAAGUAGAUCAUGUUUCCGCUCUACUGUCUACAGGACAGAAUAAGGUAACUGCUUCACUACAUUGCUUUUGCAGAGCUUCCACUUUAAUUCCUUUUGCAAUCUUCCCCAGUGCCUACUGGCAGUGACUGUUUUCAGUGAUGAAGUUUUAUUUUUAAUAAUUUAUACAGAACACUAUAAUCCAUGUGCACUUAAACUAUAAUUCUACAUGCAUAAAUAGCAUAAUUAAAAACUUCUCCUAUGAUUUAUCAGAGAUCACCAAACAUUAAUAGUAUUUUUCAUAUAUGGGGUAGUACAAACCUGUCAGUCAUUAUACUCGUAUCUCAGUUAUAUUUUAGAAAAGAUCCCUAGAUUUAGUGAACCAGCGAUUAUAUGAUUUUAUAAUUUUUAUUAAGUAUUUUACUUCAACAAAGCAGUAAACAGCAAAAGAGGCACCAAUAAUUACUUUUCAACCCUCUGACUAGAAGACUUGAUAGAAGAAAAAUACAUUUACAAUAACUGACCUUUAUAAUCAGAAUAAGGUUUGCAGAAUACUUAAAAGUCUAACCUCACAAGUCAGCAUAGAAUAUCCUCAAACCCAAAGACAUGUAUUCAACAGAAUUGAUUUCCAGCUUCCCAGUUAUUUUAUUUACAGUUAUAGCCUAUCUAUAAUAAGCACUAGACCUUCAUAACCACACAAACCCACCCUGUAUGAAAUCCCAUUGUUACCUGAAAGACAUUAGGUAACUCACAACCUUUCCAACUUCUGGAUACAGAUUAGGAUAAAGUUAAUAGCCCUCUCCUACUUCACAGGACUGCUGUGAAGAUUGACCUUUUCUUACCAUAACUUGCUUAAAUCGAUUAUAGGCAUCUUAUUAUUUCACCGACUUCACAGGUUUUAAAAUGUUUUUAGGAAAUCAAGAGUGAAGCAAAGUAAAUUGUUAGUGAAUGUUAUACUCCUGUGAUGCUUUGAAUAUUUAUACUAUUUGGAGAAUAAAGAUUACCCAAUUUUCCUGAAUUCAAAGUGGUUGAUUAAAGCACUGUUUCAAC
rnacentral:lncRNA from 1 species